rnacentral:lncRNA from 1 species
AGACCAGGAAGACAGAGGCCAAACCCAGCAUCACACUUUGACCUGCCCGGGAACACAGUGGCUCCUGGGAAAUAACCACUAAAGUCUUGAAAUGUCUUGAGUGAUUGGAGGACCUUUAUUUUUCACGCCUGAUGCCUUAUGCUGAUGAGAUGACUCAGCAGGGGAUGGCCAGGCCAGAAAGACCAAAACUGUAUCCUGAGGUUUGAGUUUCUGAGCCAGGUGAUGUCAUCCUCCAGAUUUAUUAAAAAUCAUCAACUUCAAAUUAUUUGGAUGGAAACAUUGCCAAAUCAUAGAGAUGUUUGCUACCACCCGCACACCAAGCAGCUGGGUAACUAGAAGUGCAGGAUCAGCUUAUUCACCUCCGAAAGCCUGCAUGCAACCACUGAGGCCGCCUCUAUUUUUUACAUAGUUCUACUUGGUGUAUGUAACCCCACAGAGAAACCUGGAAGAAUGCAUGAAACCUAGUAAGGCAACCAGCACAUGCAACAGAAUGAACCGUUUCUUUCCAUCUGAAUGCCUAAAUGUGGACUCUGAUCCUUUCUACCAAGUCCUAAGUUUGGGAAAAGAGGACAAGGACAGGGGCUCUGUCCCAUAUCAUAAUGUGCUUGUGAAUGGCUAAAAUUACAAUGCUGAGAUAAGUGUGUGUAAUAAAAUAAUUGCACCCCGAA